rnacentral:rRNA from 1 species
UACGGAGGAUGCAAGCGUUAUCCGGAAUUAUUGGGCGUAAAGCGUCCGCAGGUGGCUGUUCAAGUCUGCUGUCAAAGACCGGGGCUUAACUUCGGAAAGGCAGUGGAAACUGAACAGCUAGAGUAUGGUAGGGGCAGAGGGAAUUCCUGGUGUAGCGGUGAAAUGCGUAGAGAUCAGGAAGAACAUCGGUGGCGAAGGCGCUCUGCUGGACCAUAACUGACACUCAGGGACGCAAGCUAGGGGAGCGAAUGGG